CUUUAAAUAAUUUAAAAGAACACAUUGACGUAGAAGUUGCUUAAACACUAAAUGCAUCUCAGGUACCAUGUAUGAAAAAAAGCUUACAGUGUUAACCUUUCUCAGCCUGGCUUAUUUCACUUACUAAAAUGACUUAAAGUCCGUCUGUCUUGUGCCUAAUGGCAGGAUUUCCUCAGUUUAAAUAUAUGUAUAUUGUCUUGUUUGUUAUCCAGCCAUGUAUUAAUAGAUGGCUAAAUAAUUUCCAGUUCUUGCAUAUUGUAAAUAUAUGAACUGUUUGAAUUCA